rnacentral:rRNA from 1 species
GUGCCAGCAGCCGCGGUAAUACCGGCAGCCCAAGUGAUGGCCGAUCUUAUUGGGCCUAAAGCGUUCGUAGCUGGCCGGACAAGUCCGUUGGGAAAUCUGUUCGCUUAACGAGCAGGCGUCCAGCGGAAACUGUUCGGCUUGGGACCGGAAGACCUGAGGGGUACGUCUGGGGUAGGAGUGAAAUCCUGUAAUCCUGGACGGACCGCCGGUGGCGAAAGCGCCUCAGGAGAACGGAUCCGACAGUGAGGGACGAAAGCUAGGGUCUCGAACCGGAUUAGAAACCCCGGUAGUCC